UACUAUUUUCAGCUAAAAACCAAAAAACUUAAAAAAAAAACAAUUUCUAUUCUCAUUUAAACUUUCCAAAUUCCACAAACCCUAAUCAAUUUUUUUCUUUGAUCUUUUUAUUUAACGAUCUUCGAUUCCAUAGAGAUAUGGACUUGGCUCACUAAGACGUUUAUUCUUGACCCAUCCAACAAGAGGAUGUUGAUAGGAAACCAGAUGUUGUUGUAUCUAGAAAAUAUGAUUGAGCUCAUCAGAUUUUCCAGGAAAAUGAGGGAUGCAAUUGCAGAUCGUAGGGCGUACGACAAACAUAUGAAUAGUCUGUUUGCAUAAAUGGCUGGAGAAGAAACAUAAUUUGCUGCUUCCAAUGGUGUUGCUGCUGAUGGUGAUGCUGGUGCUCCCUGAUGUCGACGCUCACUUGCUUUGUGAUGCUACGUACUUUAUAAGUUUAAUUUUCUAAUUUAAGUUGUUGUAAUGGUUUUUAAGACUUGUUUGCAUGAUGGUUUUCAUGAAUUACGGCACAAUGGUGUGAUGCAAUAAUAAACUUAUAAAUGUUAAUUAUAAUUAUUAUGUAUAAUGGUUUAUGGUAAAA